GCUGCUGCUCCAACUUCAGAAGGAGUUCUGAAGUACUUUCUAAUUAGAUUUAGAUCUGAUUUUUGGAGCAUAGAUUCAUGAGGAGAAGACGUUCUAGAUCCUACUUGAGUGGAUACCAGUAGAGGCCAGGCGCUUGCGUGGCUAUAUCAGAACCUCGGGCUGUGCAGAUAUCAUCUACAGGGUAAUCAGAUUACCCUUGAGGUAUUUCUUCUUUUAUCAUAAUUUUAGAUUUAAUUUUAGAUUUUAAAUAUCAGAUAAUAAAAUUAGAUCUAGAGAAUUAGAUCUAAAAUAUGUAGGAUAUAUAUUUUUUUAAAUUAUUUCAUCCCAGAUUUAAUGAAAUCUGAAAGAUCCUACGCGGAGAAAGCGUUUCUCCUCCUUCAUGUAACUGAUUGACGUGACGUCUGUAACCGCCUGGUAAUGGGCCGUUCAGAGCCACGCGGAGUUUGUUACGGAGAGUAGUGAUAUCAGGGGCCGUUCAGGGCCACGUGGAGUUUGUUACGGAGAGUGGAGUGGUGUUCGUUGUCGCGACUUGCCAGAGAGUGGUGGAGCCACGUGGAAUCCAUUGCAGAGAGUGGAGUAGGGUAGUGGCCAUUGUC
rnacentral:lncRNA from 1 species